UUUCUACUCCCUCCGUCCAAAAAUACUUGUCAUCAAAAUGGAUAAAAAGAGAUGUAUCUAAAACUAAAAUACGUCUAGAUACAUUUCCUUUUAUCCAUUUUGAUGACAAGUAUUUUCGGACAGAGGGAGUAUUUG
rnacentral:pre_miRNA from 1 species